rnacentral:rRNA from 1 species
UAAUACGAAGGUUGCAAGCGUUGUUCGGAAUCACUGGGCUUAAAGCGCGCGUAGGCGGAAAUACAAGUGUCUUGUGAAAUCCCUCGGCUUAACCGAGGAAUUGCUCGGCAAACUGUAUUUCUUGAGGCAAGUAGGGGUACAUGGAACUCUUGGUGGAGCGGUGAAAUGCGUAGAUAUCAAGAGGAACACCGAAGGCGAAGGCAGCUCUCUGGUCCGUUUCUGACGCUGAGGUGCGAAAGCCAGGGUAGCGAACGGGAUUAGAUACCCCGGUAGUCCUGGCCGUAAACGAUGGGUACUAGUUAGUGGUCCUUCCUGUGGGAUCAUUGGCGAAGCAAAUGUAAUAAGUACCCCGCCUGGGGAGUAUGGUCGCAAGGCUA